AAAUUGCUGGCCCGGAUAGGCGGGAUCUUCGAAUCCCGGUCGAAGCAGAAACAGUCGGUCUUUUUCCAUGAGUUCAACUUUCAUUCAGCUUACC
rnacentral:tRNA from 2 species